GGGGUUGUGGCUCAGUGGUAGAGCACGCCUUGCAUGUGUGAGGCACUGGGUUCGAUCCUCAGCACCACA
rnacentral:tRNA from 1 species